rnacentral:lncRNA from 1 species
ACAGAUUUAUUUACAACUGUAAAAAUGAGAAAAAACGUAGUGGAAAUUUAAAUGUAGAAGAAAUUCAGAUAGCAUCCGUUGCUUGGAUACAGGAUUCACAGCUUCGAAAUUACCCGGAUGUGUUUCACAGUUUACAACAGAAAACGUCAAAAAAUAAUCUUGUAAAGCAGUUGAAAUUGUACCUGGACGAGAAAAAGUUAAUACGUUGUGGCGGACGUUUAAACAACGCACCUAUUGCCGCUUCAGCCAAGUUCCCGAUAUUAUUGCCAAAUAAGGAUACAUUAUCAACUCUAAUUAUAAUGGAUGCCCACAAUAGACUACUUCACUCUGGAUUAGAAAGUACUGUCACUUCUUUACGACAGUUUUACUGGAUUCCAGCAAUCCGACAAUAUGUGAAAACAAUUAUUCACAAAUGUGUUACUUGCCGAAAGGUUACAGGAAGACCGUAUCCUACUCCGGACCCACCGCCUCUACCAGCAGACAGACUAAGAGAUUCACCGCCGUUUACUGUAACAGGCGUUGACUUUACUGGUGCAUUGAGCAUCAAAACUAAAAAUGGAGUUGGAGGAAAAGCGUACAUUUGCCUAUUUACUUGUGCGAAUACAAGGGCCGUACACCUAGAAAUUGUAGAAGAUCUUACAGAAGAG